UGUAUUUUUUUGGUCUUGUAAUUUACAGGAAACAUUACGCUGUCUUCACAACUCGGAGACAAAUUGUAGGCGCUACGAACCGGAGCAAGGACUAACCUCGCCUCAUAACGAGGCUGUAACCUAUAUUUGCUCGGAGCUAUGUCUGCAAGUCCAGAUUUACAUGAUGCUGACAAUGACGGCAUUGUGUCUGCCUGUAAUAACGAGACAGUAAGCAGGAGCUUCAGGUAGAAACAACCAGAUCU